rnacentral:rRNA from 1 species
GAUGAACGCUGGCGGCGUGCCUAAUACAUGCAAGUCGAGCGAACAGAUAAGGAGCUUGCUCCUUUGACGUUAGCGGCGGACGGGUGAGUAACACGUGGGUAACCUACCUAUAAGACUGGAAUAACUCCGGGAAACCGGGGCUAAUGCCGGAUAACAUUUAGAACCGCAUGGUUCUAAAGUGAAAGAUGGUUUUGCUUUCACUUAUAGAUGGACCCGCGCCGUAUUAGCUAGUUGGUAAGGUAACGGCUUACCAAGGCAACGAUACGUAGCCGACCUGAGAGGGUGAUCGGCCACACUGGAACUGAGACACGGUCCAGACUCCUACGGGAGGCAGCAGUAGGGAAUCUUCCGCAAUGGGCGAAAGCCUGACGGAGCAACGCCGCGUGAGUGAUGAAGGUCUUCGGAUCGUAAAACUCUGUUAUUAGGGAAGAACAAAUGUGUAAGUAACUGUGCACGUCUUGACGGUACCUAAUCAGAAAGCCACGGCUAACUACGUG